CCUGGUGGCUCAACCGGUAAAGUGUCUGCCUGCAAUGCAGGAGAUCCGGGUUCAAUCCCUGGGUCAGGA
rnacentral:tRNA from 1 species